rnacentral:rRNA from 1 species
AGUGAACGCUGGCGGUAGGCCUAACACAUGCAAGUCGAACGGCAGCACAGUAAGAGCUUGCUCUUACGGGUGGCGAGUGGCGGACGGGUGAGGAAUACAUCGGAAUCUACUUUUUCGUGGGGGAUAACGUAGGGAAACUUACGCUAAUACCGCAUACGACCUACGGGUGAAAGCAGGGGAUCUUCGGACCUUGCGCGAUUGAAUGAGCCGAUGUCGGAUUAGCUAGUUGGCGGGGUAAAGGCCCACCAAGGCGACGAUCCGUAGCUGGUCUGAGAGGAUGAUAAGGCACCCGGGAACAGAGACACGGACGAGACGCCUACGGGAGGCAGCAGUGGGGAGUAUUGGACAAUGGGCGCAGGCCUGAACCAGCCAUAACGCGGGAGUGAAGAAGGCCCUCGGAUUGUAAAGCCCUUUUGUUGGGAAAGAAAAGCAGCAGGUUAAUACCCCGCGGUUCUGACGGUACCCAAAGAAUAAGCAACGGCUAACUUCGUG